UACGAAGGGGGCUAGCGUUGCUCGGAUUGACUGGGCGUAAAGGGCGCGUAGGCGGUUUGCACAGUCAGACGUGAAAUUCCUGGGCUUAACCUGGGGGCUGCGUUUGAUACGUGCAGGCUUGAGUUCGGAAGAGGGUCGUGGAAUUCCCAGUGUAGAGGUGAAAUUCGUAGAUAUUGGGAAGAACACCGGUGGCGAAGGCGGCGAGCUGGUCCAUUACUGACGCUGAGGCGCGACAGCGUGGGGAGCAAACAGG
rnacentral:rRNA from 1 species